AUGAAUAUUAGGGUACUCUUUUAACAAGGGGCCUGACUUUCAUUCUUCUACACUGUGCACUAUUAUUCAAUUCGGUCAGUUGGUAGUUUGGCUGUCUCUGGCCUUACGACGCUGCCGAGUUUCAUUUUUAAACUCUACAAGUCUAAGAAUGUAACAAACCUAAAACAAAAAAA
rnacentral:misc_RNA from 2 species